rnacentral:tRNA from 1 species
UCCUUGUUAGCUCAGUUGGUAGAGCGUUCGGCUUUUAACUAAGACCGUAAAUUAGAAGCUAAUUGAAUAUUAUUCAUUUGCGACAAUAAUUUGCGAUCACCUAAAGGAUACCGAAAUGUCAGGGGUUCGAGCCCCCUACGAGGAG